rnacentral:rRNA from 1 species
CGCUCUUGCAAAACAUAAGAGGUCCAGCCUGCCCAGUGACAAAGUUCAACGGCCGCGGUACCCUAACCGUGCGAAGGUAGCAUAAUCACUUGUUCUUUAAAUGAGGACUCGUAUCAACGGCACUACGAGGGCUAUACUGUCUCCUUUUUCUAAUCAGUGAAACUGAUCUCCCCGUGAAGAAGCGGGGAUCAAAAUAUAAGACGAGAAGACCCCAUGGAGCUUCAAACUCUCUAUGCACUUCUAUGCUCUCACCCAUCAAACAUAAGAAACCUGCAUACUAGUUUUGGGUUGGGGGGACCACGGAGUACAAUUUAACCUCCAUAACAAAUGGGCUAAUACCCUUAUCCACGAGACACAACUCUAAGAAUUAUUAAACUAAUGUUUAUGACCCGAUAUUCGAUCAAUGAACCAAGUUACCCUGGGGAUAACAGCGCAAUCUACUUCAAGAGCCCAUAUCGACAAGUAGGUUUACGACCUCGAUGUUGGAUCAGGGUAUCCUGGUGGUGCAGCCGCUACCAAUGGUUCGUUUGUUCAACGA